CGUCAGUCACGGGAGGUGCUGGAUGUCGGGAAAGGCCCGGGCAGGCGGCGUCGGGCACCGGGACGGCCUCUCCAGGGAGGAGCUCGCAGCACAAGCCUGGCGGCGCUCAAGAAGUGUUUGGUGAACGCGGUGUGUCCCCUGGGGGGUCCUGAGCAGGAGCUGGACGCGAUGAUCCCCCUGGGUCCCUCCCAGUUUGGCACGUCCCGUGAUCCUGUGGGGACGCAGCCUGCUCCCGGAGGAGCUUGGCGUGGGCCCCACGGCCCCCCCGUGACUGCGGCCCUGCGCGGCCCCCAGGAGCAGGGGCUGGGCGAGGUGUGCAGGCCACCCCCAGAGGUUCUGUGGUCCCUCCACUUGGCACCUCCAGUCCAACCCCAUUUCAACGAGACUGACAUAGAAAGGCACUUCAGGGCACUUCUCACUUAGACUGACUUCCCACAUACACCCGCACCCCAACACACACCCUUUCGACCUCCAGAAGACUUUGGUCAGGAGCGCUGGAUGUGGAGCUCUGCACCUGCUGAACCGGCAUGAGAUAAAUUUGAAGCGAAUCGGCAGUAGUUAGUUAAAGGCACUGCUGACAAUCCAGCCCAGACUGCAGCACCAUGACCAGGCCAACAUCGACACAGCCAACUGGAUAGAAGAACGUGAGGAGUAUCUGCAUCAUGAGAUGCUUGGCUGCUGCAGGUGAUAGAGGGGAAGAGAGGCACCAUGAAAAGCCCCAUUCCUUUCUGCAGUACCGCAGCAGUGGGUGUUUUGAGGUGCUGUAGCAGCCCUGGUCCUAGUCUCUGUGGGCUGCUGGCUGGACAGGCGAAGGAAGCCUGCCUCUGUCAGCUGCAGGGAGCAGGAGAGCUCCAGCAGCACGGAGGAGGACGAUGGUCAGAAAAAGUUCAAAGGUACCCACAGCGGUCUCAUAUCUUUGUGGUCACCCCAUUACCAAUGGAAGCAUUCGAGCUAAGGCUGGAUGGGGCUGUGAGUAACAUGAUCUACUUGAGAGUUCCUCUCCUCAUUGUUGCAAUGAUAUUUAAGGAUCCCUUCUGUGAUUCUAAAGCAGCACUUGAAGCAUGGAGCAGCGUGGUAGAACCAACACCAGUGAUUUUAUCAUCUCCUAAGGCAAUGCUAUGGAGUUUGCCAAAAUUAUAUUCUUAGCCCGUUCCCCAAAGACAAUAAACAUCAACAUAAGGAAGUCAUCCUGCAAGAAGGGCAUCAUGUAACAGAACCCUGGUGACAAGUACUUUUUAUUUAUUUUCUUUUGCUCUGAAAGGCAAUAAAUCAACCUUGUGACUUGCAA